GGAAGGGAAAGUCCACAUGUCCCAGGGGCCCUUGCAGCAGGCCCCAGCUCCUGGGGGAAGACCAGCAACCGUUUCCCCCAUCCUCAGGGGUCAUGUAUCUCCAGAAAAGACACGUUCAGUUCCUCAACCUGGCCUGUGGAUGGGGGCCUUACUUGUAAAUAAGUUUUUGCAGGUGUGACCAAGGUCAAAUGAGGUCACAGGAUGGGUCACACAUCCAAGGACUGCUGUCCUCAGAGGAAGAGGAGAUGGCCAGGGAUGGGACGAGCGCAGCCACAGUUACAGCAAAAACAGGAGUGAACAGCCUUUGGCACAUACCAGCCUAACAGACCUGCAAGAGAUUUGGAGAAGGAAAUGGCAACCCACUCUAGUCUUCUUGCCUGGAGAAUCCCAUGAACAGAGGAGCCUUCUGGGCUGCCGUCUACAGGGUCGCACAGAGUCGGACACAACUGAAGAGACUUAGCAGCAGCAGCCAUGUAGAUUAUGCUCUGGACCUAGCACUCUUCACCCCAUAUGCCCUCUUUGUAGCAUCCUGCAUUUCAGAAAGAAGGUCGGGGCCGAUAACUUCAUGGACACCAGACCCGGCUGCUACCUGAUGCCAGCUGUGGCUGUUUUGAUACUUUGCAAGAGAAUAAAAAACAUGAGACCUUCAAGAGGAAUAUAAAACCUCUCCCUAUUCCUGAGAAAAGGGGGCACAGUUCUUGAGGCACUAGCCUGCUGUGUUUCCAUCUUGCCUGGCACAGAUAAUAAAGCUACUCUUCUCUACUUC